CCUACGGGAGGCAGCAGUGAGGAAUAUUGGACAAUGGGCGCAAGCCUGAUCCAGCCAUGCCGCGUGCAGGAUGACGGUCCUAUGGAUUGUAAACUGCUUUUGCACAGGAAGAAACAACGCUACGUGUAGCGUCUUGACGGUACUGUGAGAAUAAGGAUCGGCUAACUCCGUGCCAGCAGCCGCGGUAAUACGGAGGAUCCAAGCGUUAUCCGGAAUCAUUGGGUUUAAAGGGUCCGUAGGCGGUUUAGUAAGUCAGUGGUGAAAGCCCAUCGCUCAACGGUGGAACGGCCAUUGAUACUGCUAGACUUGAAUUAUUAGGAAGUAACUAGAAUAUGUAGUGUAGCGGUGAAAUGCUUAGAGAUUACAUGGAAUACCAAUUGCGAAGGCAGGUUACUACUAAUGGAUUGACGCUGAUGGACGAAAGCGUGGGUAGCGAACAGGAUUAGAUACCCUGGUAGUCCACGCCGUAAACGAUGGAUACUAGCUGUUGGGCGCAAGUUCAGUGGCUAAGCGAAAGUGAUAAGUAUCCCGACCUGGGGAGUACGUUCGCAAGAAGAGAACGUACGAAUAGAGUUAGUACGGCGUUGAGACGNGCCGACGGACGACGACGAGGGAGGUAGG
rnacentral:rRNA from 1 species